GACGAACGCUGGCGGCGUGCUUAACACAUGCAAGUCGAGCGGUAAGGCCCUUUCGGGGGUACACGAGCGGCGAACGGGUGAGUAACACGUGGGUGACCUGCCCUCAGCUCUGGGAUAAGCCUGGGAAACCGGGUCUAAUACUGGAUAUGACUCCAUGACGCAUGUUGUGGGGUGGAAAGCCUUGUGCGGCUGAGGAUGGGCCCGCGGCCUAUCAGCUUGUUGGUGGGGNGAUGGCCUACCAAGGCGACGACGGGUAGCCGGCCUGAGAGGGCGACCGGCCACACUGGGACUGAGACACGGCCAGACUCCUACGGGAGGCAGCAGUGGGGAAUCUUGCGCAAUGGGCGAAAGCCUGACGCAGCGACGCCGCGUGA
rnacentral:rRNA from 1 species